rnacentral:rRNA from 1 species
UACGGGGGGGGCAAGCGUUGUUCGGAAUUACUGGGCGUAAAGGGCUCGUAGGCGGCCAACUAAGUCAGACGUGAAAUCCCCAGGCUCAACCUGGGAACUGCGUCUGAUACUGGAUGGCUUGAAUCCGGGAGAGGGAUGCAGAAUUCCAGGUGUAGCGGUGAAAUGCGUAGAUAUCUGGAGGAAUACCGGUGGCGAAGGCGGCAUCCUGGACCGACACUGACACUGAGGAGCGAAAGCCAGGGGAGCAAACGGG